GCCGGGCGCGGUGGCGCGUGCCUGUAGUCCCAGCUGCUCGGGAGGCUGAGGCUGGAGGAUCGCUUGAGUCCAGGAGUUCUGGGCUGUAGUGCGCUAUGCCGAUCGGGUGUCCGCACUAAGUUCGGCAUCAAUAUGGUGACCUCCCGGGAGCGGGGGACCACCAGGUUGCCUAAGGAGGGGUGAACCGGCCCAGGUCGGAAACGGAGCAGGUCAAAACUCCCGUGCUGAUCAGUAGUGGGAUCGCGCCUGUGAAUAGCCACUGCACUCCAGCCUGGGCAACAUAGCGAGACCCCGUCUCUU
rnacentral:SRP_RNA from 1 species